CAGCAGCCGCGGUAACACGGAGGGUGCAAGCGUUAUCCGGAUUCACUGGGUUUAAAGGGUGCGUAGGCGGGCAGGUAAGUCAGUGGUGAAAUCUCCGGGCUUAACCCGGAAACUGCCGUUGAUACUAUCUGUCUUGAAUAUAGUGGAGGUGAGCGGAAUAUGUCAUGUAGCGGUGAAAUGCUUAGAUAUGACAUAGAACACCGAUUGCGAAGGCAGCUCGCUACACUAUUAUUGACGCUGAGACACGAAAGCGUGGGGAUCAAACAGGAUUAGAUACCCGCGUGGUCCCUGUCUCUUAUAC
rnacentral:rRNA from 1 species